AUUUUUUUAGUAUAUAAUAGUAUAUCUGACUUCCAAUCAGAAGGUCUAAAUAAUUUAGAAAAAAUA
rnacentral:tRNA from 1 species